rnacentral:tRNA from 1 species
GGUAGAGCGAAAGUUGGUAGAGCGCUCCACUUGUAAUGGAGAGGUCCCGGGUUCGAUACCCGGACCA